UACGUAGGGGGCAAGCGUUGUCCGGAUUCAUUGGGCGUAAAGAGCGUGUAGGCGGCCAGGUAGGUCGGUUGUGAAAACUGGAGGCUCAACCUUCAGACGUCGACCGAAACCAUCUGGCUAGAGUCCGGGAGAGGAGAGUGGAAUUCCUGGUGUAGCGGUGAAAUGCGCAGAUAUCAGGAAGAACACCCGUGGCGAAAGCGGCUCUCUGGAACGGUACUGACGCUGAGACGCGAAAGCGUGGGGGAGCGAACCGG
rnacentral:rRNA from 1 species